CCUGUCAAGUUUCUUAUUGUUCCCUUGAUGUUACCCUUAAACCUUCUAAGAAGGGCAUCAAUUCCCAGUAACUAUGAAGAGCCAAGGUAAAAUAAAAUUCAAGGUUCAAGUGUUUCAGGUUGGUGAUAAAAAAAAUGUAAAAUUACUUUUUGCAAGUCUAUCAUAUAUGAUUAUAGACCACCUUAACAUUGUCAGUAGUCACACUGUUGUUUUGAAAGAUUAUCAAGCAAGGUAAACCAGUGCUACUUUUAUGACAGGUUUGGUUGGUCUUAUGUGAUGAUCAAGGCUUACUUUGGGACUUCAAUUCAAUAAGCUGUAUUGAUGACCUUUUGCCUAAUUGGACAAUUUUUUGCCCGUCUGUGAAACAAGCUGGGGCGAGGAGCUCAAGAAUUUGCUAAUCAGUUUAUAUCCCAUAUGAUCCUAUUGUUGUCAUGGAAUUGUUUUGUCACAUGAUUGAUUUGGGUGUGGCUAACUUGGCUGAGGACCUUCAACUUCCAUACCCGAGACCGAUCAAAAUGAAGAAAUGGGAUUUUGCGGAGGAAGCAUCAGCAACAGCUGAGCACCAUCUUAUGUUCUAACCUUGAAGAGGCUCGUGGGCUAACUGGAGUGUCCUGAGGAAGUUUUGAUGCUUGUGAAGAUCCAAACCACUUGAUCUGGUCUCAACAUCACAUACCUGAAUGAUAGUAAAUCAUUGUUUGAUGCAGUUGCAUUCUACUGAUAUCACUCCUCAACUCAAUGAGGCUCUGCAGGGAGAUUCAAGCUGUAUUUUUGUAACUCAGAGAUAGUCCCCAAACACCACAGGAUGGAGAUACGGGCAAGAAUGAGCCAUGUCAUUGUGGAAAGGCAUUCCAAAAUUCCUUGCUAUUGGCUUUUAUCAUGUGCUCCGUGUUGUUAAUACUCUUCAAAGGAUUCUUGAUAUAAGGCGACCUCUUCUCAUGUGGUGUUUUAGUCCUUUGCAA